GAUCUUCGAAAGGGGAUUUGCAUGAAAAUUUCAUAUCCGUAUUGUUGUGUCAAGAGAGGAAAAUCUUCAUCAAACAAUUUAACAAUUUUUUGCCCCACUAAGAUAUUAAAUUACACGUGUCGGUAGAUCGUGAUGGUAUGAGAAGCUGCUGUGGAUGAAUCUCAUUAGCACUUCCCUUUCUAGGAAAAAAACAGAGUAGGAAAUUAUUUGACAAACACCCAAUGACUUUGUAAUGGCAGAGGGAAUAAAGCUUCCCCAAUUAGUGUGAA